UACGUAGGUGGCGAGCGUUGUCCGGAUUUACUGGGCGUAAAGAGCGCGCAGGCAGUCGUUCAAGUCGCGUGUGAAAGCCCCCGGCUCAACUGGGGAGGGUCACGCGAUACUGAUCGACUCGAAGGCAGGAGAGGGAAGUGGAAUUCCCGGUGUAGUGGUGAAAUGCGUAGAUAUCGGGAGGAACACCGGUGGCGAAGGCGGCAUCCUGGACCGGUAUUGACGCUGAGGCGCGAAAGCUAGGGGAGCAAACAGG
rnacentral:rRNA from 1 species